rnacentral:rRNA from 1 species
AUUGUGAGUUCGAUGAGUAGGGCGGGACACGUGACAUCCUGUCUGAAUAUGGGGGGACCAUCCUCCAAGGCUAAAUACUCCUGACUGACCGAUAGUGAACCAGUACCGUGAGGGAAAGGCGAAAAGAACCCCGGCGAGGGGAGUGAAAUAGAACCUGAAACCGUGUACGUACAAGCAGUGGGAGCCUUGAUUAAUCAGGGUGACUGCGUACCUUUUGUAUAAUGGGUCAGCGACUUAUAUUCUGUAGCAAGGUUAACCGUAUAGGGGAGCCGUAGGGAAACCGAGUCUUAACUGGGCGUUAAGUUGCAGGGUAUAGACCCGAAACCCGGUGAUCUAGCCAUGGGCAGGUUGAAGGUUGGGUAACACUAACUGGAGGACCGAACCGACUAAUGUUGAAAAAUUAGCGGAUGACUUGUGGCUGGGGGUGAAAGGCCAAUCAAACCGGGAGAUAGCUGGUUCUCCCCGAAAGCUAUUUAGGUAGCGCCUCGUGAAUUCAUCUUCGGGGGUAGAGCACUGUUUCGGCUAGGGGGUCAUCCCGACUUACCAACCCGAUGCAAACUACGAAUACCGAAGAAUGUUAUCACGGGAGACACACGGCGGGUGCUAACGUUCGUCGUGAAGAGGGAAACAACCCAGACCGCCAGCUAAGGUCCCAAAGUCAUGGUUAAGUGGGAAACGAUGUGGGAAGGCACAGACAGCCAGGAUGUUGGCUUAGAAGCAGCCAUCAUUUAAAGAAAGCGUAAUAGCUCACUGGUCGAGUCGGCCUGCGCGGAAGAUGUAACGGGGCUAAACCAUGCACCGAAGCUGCGGCAGCGACACUUAGGUGUUGUUGGGUAGGGGAGCGUUCUGUAAGCCGUCGAAGGUG